rnacentral:rRNA from 1 species
AGGUAAGCUACUAAGAGCGAAUGGUGGAUGCCUUGACUGGUAAAGGCGAUGAAGGACGUACUAGACUGCGAUAAGCUACGGGGAGCUGUCAAGAAGCUUUGAUCCGUAGAUUUCCGAAUGGGGCAACCCAAUGUAUAGAGAUAUACAUUACCUAUAUAGGAGCGAACGAGGGGAAUUGAAACAUCUUAGUACUCUCAGGAAAAGAAAUCAAUAGAGAUUGCGUCAGUAGCGGCGAGCGAAAGCGCAAGAGGGCAAACCCAGUGCUUGCACUGGGGGUUGUAGGACUGCAAUGUGCAAGAGCUGAGUUUAGCAGAACAUUCUGGAAAGUAUAGCCAUAGAGGGUGAUAGUCCCGUAUGCGAAAAACAAAGCUUAGCUAGCAGUAUCCUGAGUAGGGCGGGACACGAGGAAUCCUGUCUGAAUCCGGGUCGACCACGAUCCAACCCUAAAUACUAAUACCAGAUCGAUAGUGCACAAGUACCGUGAGGGAAAGGUGAAAAGAACUGAGGUGAUCAGAGUGAAAUAGAACCUGAAACCAUUUGCUUACAAUCAUUCAGAGCACUAUGUAGCAAUACAGUGUGAUGGACUGCCUUUUGCAUAAUGAGCCUGCGAGUUGUGGUGUCUGGCAAGGUUAAGCAAACGCGAAGCCGUAGCGAAAGCGAGUCUGAAUAGGGCGCUUAGUCAGAUGCUGCAGACCCGAAACGAAGUGAUCUAUCCAUGAGCAAGUUGAAGCUAGUGUAAGAACUAGUGGAGGACUGAACCCAUAGGCGUUGAAAAGCCCCGGGAUGACUUGUGGAUAGGGGUGAAAGGCCAAUCAAACUUCGUGAUAGCUGGUUCUCUCCGAAAUAUAUUUAGGUAUAGCGUUGUGUCGUAAUAUAAGGGGGUAGAGCACUGAAUGGGCUAGGGCAUACACCAAUGUACCAAACCCUAUCAAACUCCGAAUACCUUAUAUGUAAUCACAGCAGUCAGGCGGCGAGUGAUAAAAUCCGUCGUCAAGAGGGAAACAACCCAGACUACCAGCUAAGGUCCCUAAGUCUUACUUAAGUGGAAAACGAUGUGAAGUUACUUAAACAACCAGGAGGUUGGCUUAGAAGCAGCCAUCCUUUAAAGAAAGCGUAAUAGCUCACUGGUCUAGUGAUUUUGCGCGGAAAAUAUAACGGGGCUAAAGUAAGUACCGAAGCUGUAGACUUGCGCACAACUUAGAUUAUUUAAGUUUAGAAUAUGAGAAACUAAGUUAUGUUUAGUUAUAUUUUUACUGAUUUUUAUAGAGUAAAGAUAGAAAUAAAACUUAGUAAAAUCAGUAAAAAUAUUCUUAGGCUAAAGUUAAGUAGUUUAAGUUGUGUGCAAGUGGUAGGAGAGC